CCUACGGGAGGCAGCAGUAGGGAAUAUUGCUCAAUGGGGGAAACCCUGAAGCAGCAACGUCGCGUGGAGGAUGAAGGUUUUAGGAUUGUUAACUCCUUUUGUUCGAGAAGAUUCUGACGGUAUCUAUCGAAUAAGCACCGGCUAACUCCGUGCCAGCAGCCGCGGUAAUCCGGCGGGUGCAAGCGUUACUCGGAAUCACUGGGCGUAAAGGGUGCGUAGGCGGGGUAAUAAGUCAGAUGUGAAAUCCUGUAGCUUAACUACAGAACAGCAUUUGAAACUGUUUGUCUGGAGUGUGGGAGAGGUAGGUGGAAUUCUUGGUGUAGGGGUAAAAUCCGUAGAGAUCGAGAGGAAUACUCAUUGCGAAGGCGACCUGCUGGAACAUUACUGACGCUGAUGCACGAAAGCGUGGGGAGCGAACAGGAUUAGAUACCCCUGUAGUC
rnacentral:rRNA from 1 species